CAGAUACUCUCUCCGUCUCAAAAUAAUCAUCUUGAGUUCAUCUAAAUAUACAUGUAUCUAGACAUGUUUUAGUGUCCAGAUACAUCCGUAUUUAGACGAAGUCAAAACGAUUAUUUUGAGACGGAGGGAGUACAAG
rfam:Triticum aestivum genome assembly, contig: Triticum_aestivum_CS42_TGACv1_scaffold_578190_7BL